AAAUUGAAGAGUUUGAUCAUGGCUCAGAUUGAACGCUGGCGGCAGGCCUAACACAUGCAAGUCGAACGGUAGCAGGAAGCAGCUUGCUGCUUUGCUGACGAGUGGCGGACGGGUGAGUAAUGUCUGGGAAACUGCCUGAUGGAGGGGGAUAACUACUGGAAACGGUGGCUAAUACCGCAUAACGUCGCAAGACCAAAGAGGGGGACCUUCGGGCCUCUUGCCAUCAGAUGUGCCCAGAUGGGAUUAGCUAGUUGGUGAGGUAACGGCUCACCAAGGCGACGAUCCCUAGCUGGUCUGAGAGGAUGACCAGCCACACUGGAACUGAGACACGGUCCAGACUCCUACGGGAGGCAGCAGUGGGGAAUAUUGCACAAUGGGCGCAAGCCUGAUGCAGCCAUGCCGCGUGUAUGAAGAAGGCCUUCGGGUUGUAAAGUACUUUCAGCGGGGAGGAAGGUGUUGUGGUUAAUAACC
rnacentral:rRNA from 1 species